rnacentral:rRNA from 1 species
AUGCAAAUUGACCCUCUUCUAUUUGUCACUCUUCCUGAUGGAGAUGACAUACCUCGACAUGUUCCUACAUCCUCAAGCAAUCAAAGGGACCUUGAUUCUUGUAUUGAUUUAUUGCUAAAGUUACAUUGUCAUAGGUUCAAUAUGACGCAAAAUAGGGCUAAGUGGACAGCAAGGUAUGAGAAAGGUCUCGUGGAGGUACUUACAGAGUACAAUCUAUCUCAUUACCGUGGCCAAAAUGGGUGGACUAUCGAAGGAUGGAAUCAAGUUGUCAAGGAACUGAACAAUUUAUAUCCAGAGACAAGGUUUACCAAGGAUCAGGUUCAAGAUAAGGAAGCUCAGUUGAAAAAGCACUACAAAAAUAUCAAGUUGAUAGUCAACCGCUCUGGAAUAUCAUGGAAUGAUAUUGCAUGUGUGAUCAACACCACGCCUGAAGAAUGGGAAGAGAUCAUUGCAGAGGACCCAAAGCUCAAAAUGUAUGAAGGAAAGAGCUUUCCAUUGUACGAGGCAUUGGGUGUGCUCUAUGAAGGACACAUUGCGCAAGGAAGACAUUGCCUCACAUCAAGGAAGCCUCCAACUGGCACAAAAACAGGUAGCAACUUUGGAGCGAAGGAUAAGAUGGUUGCAAGCACUAGCAAGAAAAAUACAAGACAUGGAAGAGAUGACAACAUAAGGACUUCUUCAAUAAUUGACAUCAAUGAUACUCCUACAUUAGAUGAUGUGGAUGAAAGAGAGAACACUGUCAAUGACGAGGAAGAAUUAGGCAGUGAAGAUGCUGAUGGUGAUCAACCACAAAUAAGUGAAUCAAGUGCCAAAGGGGAAAAACUAAGAAACAAAAAGGUGCCACAUCUGUACAGCGGCUUGAAGAUUCCAUGA